UGCUCGUCCCUCGCAACGAUAGGUUGGAAACUCCGCCAGGCCCGGAAGGGAGCAACGGUACCUUCUGAUUCGUGUGCCGAGAUUAGGCGGGUGAAG
rnacentral:SRP_RNA from 1 species